GACGAACGCUGGCGGCGUGCCUAAUACAUGCAAGUAGAACGCUGAAGGAGGAGCUUGCUUCUCUGGAUGAGUUGCGAACGGGUGAGUAACGCGUAGGUAACCUGCCUGGUAGCGGGGGAUAACUAUUGGAAACGAUAGCUAAUACCGCAUAAUAGUAGAUGUUGCAUGACAUUUGCUUAAAAGGUGCAAUUGCAUCACUACCAGAUGGACCUGCGUUGUAUUAGCUAGUUGGUGGGGUAACGGCUCACCAAGGCGACGAUACAUAGCCGACCUGAGAGGGUGAUCGGCCACACUGGGACUGAGACACGGCCCAGACUCCUACGGGAGGCAGCAGUAGGGAAUCUUCGGCAAUGGACGGAAGUCUGACCGAGCAACGCCGCGUGAGUGAAGAAGGUUUUCGGAUCGUAAAGCUCUGUUGUAAGAGAAGAACGAGUGUGAGAGUGGAAAGUUCACACUGUGACGGUAUCUUACCAGAAAGGGACGGCUAACUACGUG
rnacentral:rRNA from 1 species